GACGAACGCUGGCGGCGUGCUUAACACAUGCAAGUCGAACGGUGAAGCCCUAGCUUGCUGGAGUGGACCAGUGGCGAACGGGUGAGUAACACGUGAGCAACCUGCCCCUGACUCUGGAAUAACUGCUGGAAACGGCGUCUAAUACCGGAUACGAGAUGGGUCUGCAUGGGCACUUUCUGGAAAGUUCUUCGGUUGGGGAUGGGCUCGCGGCGUAUCAGCUUGUUGGUGGGGUAAUGGCUUACCAAGGCGACGACGGGUAGCCGGCCUGAGAGGGCGACCGGCCACACUGGGACUGAGACACGGCCCAGACUCCUACGGGAGGCAGCAGUGGGGAAUAUUGCACAAUGGGCGAAAGCCUGAUGCAGCGACGCCGCGUGAGGGAUGACGGCCUUCGGGUUGUAAACCUCUUUCAGCAGGGAAGAAGCGAAAGUGACGGUACCUGCAGAAGAAGCACCGGCUAACUACGUG
rnacentral:rRNA from 1 species